UUUCAUUCUCCCGCUCGCCAAACCCUCGGCGCCUCGAACCCUCCGUAACUUCCUCUCAAAUCCUCUCUGCAACUUCCUCCAUCUCAGGUUAGUCACUCUACUGGACUUACGGUUCUAUGGGGAAAGGACGUGUUCGUGGCAUGAAGUUAGGACCCACACCCACCAUAGUGUUCAAGUCUACACCACGUCAAUUUACCGAGAUUGAGAUUCAUAAUGAGGCCAACAAUAUGGAAGAUUACGAAAACGUAGAUGCUAGACUUUCGAUAUUAGAGUUGAAAAUGGCCAAUAUGCUCUCGAUUUUGGAACAAAAUGGUUUCAUGCAAUCCAAUAAUCUGACUGCUGCACAUACAAAUGGUGAUUCGCCAUACUGUAUAUACAAGAAUCCUGGACGUGUUUGUGGCAUGAGAUUACAACCUACAUCGACUCAAGUGUUCAGAUCUACCUCACACCGUAAUAUUCGUAAUGAGGCUCGUAUGGAUCAAAAUGUAGAUACUAGACUUUCAAUAUUAGAGGCUCAAAUGACGAAGGUAGUUUCGAUCUUACGACGAAAUGGUCUGAUGCAAGGCAAUAUAUGAACAGAACCACCACAGAAGUUUCAAGACAUCACUAGGUAUGACCCCCUAAUGGUGCAUCAAGUUUGUGAAGUCAACUCAAGAUGUUUCUUAAUGUUUUAGCCGAGUCUGUAAUGGUAAAACAAUUUGAUCGCCCAACUCUUAGGCUUAAAUAUCGUUAUAUUGGGAUGAUAUGAAGUAUGUAUUAGAGCAUUCUUCCAUUUUCAACCUCUUGUGUUGAAAUUUCUGGAGGUGGUAGUAUUAGUGUAUUAACA